GUGUUCGGUGAAGUCGGUGUUGUGUUGGUGCCGACAGUGAAGGUGUUGUUACCGACACUGAUGUAGUGCUCGGUGUGGUGUUGGUGCCGACAGUGAAGGCGUUGUUAUAAACACUGAUGUGGUGUUCGGUGAAGUCGGU